rnacentral:lncRNA from 10 species
GAUGAAUUCAAAAGUGAUUGCGCAUACUGCUGAUCAACAUGUGUCUUCUGACCGGAUCCUGAGCGUAGACUCCUAAAUUUUCAGUCUUGAGAGAAGAAUGGUCACUAGCGUCUCUAACUGAGAGGGAAAAUGACUGACCAUUGGUUGAGUGUGUGCGUGGAGGGGAACAGAUGGAUGAACUGAUCCAGCGACUCCCAGGCUGAAAGAACUGAAUGUUCAAUGGUGUACUUAUAGACCACAUUAACUUCUUGGCAAGUGCUGCUGCUGCACAUGUGGGUGGUCCAUCGCUGAAUAUGAAUGUGCUGAAUAUCAUUUGGGCAAGGAGCAAGAGGUGUUCAAGUGAGUUGGAGAGAAGCCCAGAAGGAACUGUUGUUGGAUUUCAACAAAUUUUGGGGGCACUUAUUGAAAGAAGCAUACGGAUUUUUUUCUUCAGUUUAUUAACAUGAUGAAUUAUAUUGCUUAACUGUUGAGUGUUAAACCAACUUCAUAUUCUCAGCAUAAACUCUGCAUCAUCAUAAUGUAUUAUCAUUUUUAUAUAUUGCUUGAUUCAGUUACUAAAGUUUUGUUUAGAAUUUUCAUGUCCAUGUUCAUGAAGGAUUUUGGUUGGUAGGGAUUUUUUU